rnacentral:rRNA from 1 species
UGGGGAAUUUUGGGACAAUGGGCGAAAGCCUGAUCCAGCAAUGCCGCGUGUGUGAAGAAGGCCUUCGGGUUGUAAAGCACUUUUGUCCGGAAAGAAAUCCUUGGCUCUAAUACAGUCGGGGGAUGACGGUACCGGAAGAAUAAGCACCGGCUAACUACGUGCCAGCAGCCGCGGUAAUACGUAGGGUGCAAGCGUUAAUCGGAAUUACUGGGCGUAAAGCGUGCGCAGGCGGUUUGCUAAGACCGAUGUGAAAUCCCCGGGCUCAACCUGGGAACUGCAUUGGUGACUGGCAGGCUAGAGUAUGGCAGAGGGGGGUAGAAUUCCACGUGUAGCAGUGAAAUGCGUAGAGAUGUGGAGGAAUACCGAUGGCGAAGGCAGCCCCCUGGGCCAAUACUGACGCUCAUGCACGAAAAGCGUGGGGGAGCAAAACAGGAUUAG